rnacentral:rRNA from 1 species
AGAACGAACGCUGGCGGCAUGCCUAACACAUGCAAGUCGAACGAGACCUUCGGGUCUAGUGGCGCACGGGUGCGUAACGCGUGGGAAUCUGCCCUUGGGUUCGGGAUAACAGUUGGAAACGACUGCUAAUACCGGAUGAUGACUUCGGUCCAAAGAUUUAUCGCCCAGGGAUGAGCCCGCGUAGGAUUAGCUUGUUGGUGAGGUAAGAGCUCACCAAGGCGACGAUCCUUAAGCUGGUCUGAGAGGAUGAUCAGCCACA